rnacentral:rRNA from 1 species
CCUACGGGAGGCUGCAGUGGGGAAUAUUGCACAAUGGGCGCAAGCCUGAUGCAGCGACGCCGCGUGGAGGAUGAAGGUUUUCGGAUUGUAAACUCCUGUUAAGUGGGAAGAAAGGCAUGUACCUAAUACGUACGUGAGAUGACGGUACCACUAGAGAAAGCACCGGCAAACUUCGUGCCAGCAGCCGCGGUAAUACGAAGGGUGCAAGCGUUAUUCGGAAUGACUGGGCGUAAAGAGCGUGAAGGCGGUUUUCUAAGUCAACUGUUAAAGCACUC